rnacentral:tRNA from 1 species
GGGCAUCACGCGGUCGCGGCCGAACUGGCCCGCCGGCUGGAGGCCGGCGGCGGACGGACCAGGACCGUCGAUGUCCUC